CACACAGCUCUGCCGACCCGAGUAAUGAGUGGGACUCAAAUAACUACAGAAUGAGAGGGGGCUACCACCCAGUCAGUCCCGAUGGGCAGUCCCCUGCUUCUAGCCCAAAGGUCAUGAGAAACACUUCUCACGUCAGCAGAAUAUCAACUGCAAGCAACCCGCUGCAAAUUGCACCCAGUCCCCCAAACCAGCGCCGGCAAGUGGCCCCAGUCAUGUCCAAGCCUGUCAUGUUGCCCCCCUCCCAAACCUCUCAUAGACCUACCCUGCGCUCUGAGGCCCUGGUGAGAACCCCCACUCUUCAUUGUAUCUG